AUCAAGUUGACGAGUCUUAGAUAAGACAAAACACGUGUCCUGGAU
rnacentral:hammerhead_ribozyme from 1 species